rnacentral:rRNA from 1 species
AUGAGUCUCGCCCUCCUCUGUUCUGUAGUUCUUCUCUUUCCUUGUGUGUCUCCAUGGCCGCCCCACCUACGUAAUUCCUCCUCCAUCGAUCCCCCAUUCUCCAGCGCCCUGGACGAGGACCGCCCUCGUCAUGGCUCAAUGGAGCAGCGGCUGCUUGUCUUGGAGUUCCUGUUUGACUCGUGGUCUAGCCACAGCGGGCCGCCGAUCCCCUAUUGUUCUUGUUCAUCUCUUCCUGUUCUUCAGGUAAGAAGUGGAUGCUGGUUUCGUCAGAAAAGAAAAAUGGAUGUUGGUAUGGCACUUGAUGUGAUCACUGGUGCCGAAACUAUUGUUUCGCGUUCAAAAAUAUUUCAGGCUAUUUCAUGUUCUACACAAAAGGACAGAAACUUAGCCCGCUGGAAUUUGAUGCAACAAGUUUCAGAAAAAUGCAAGUUGUUUCCGGGGAAGAAGAAUAUGACCAAAGUACCAGACGUGCAAACACAGGCGGUCAGUGAACAUGUGUUUUAUAUUGGAUCUAUUUUCGUGAAGUUUCCAUCAGCAAUCGAACCCGAGGAAGAAGCGAUCAAGCCAACGUUUAGAACGCCACCAUGCAGUUGGUUUUUCGUUGGAAAGAAUUCCGCUCCAAGUUCUUGUGUGACAACAACUAGUAGCAGCCGCCGAGAAGUUCUCAGCAAGGGCACGGAUAGAUAG